rnacentral:rRNA from 1 species
GUAGGGAAUAUUGCGCAAUGGACGAAAGUCUGACGCAGCAACGCCGCGUGGGUGAUGAAGCAUUUCGGUGUGUAAAACCCUGUCAGUGGGGAAGAAACGCACGAGCAGUAACUGGCUCGUGCCUGACGGUACCCGCAGAGGAAGUCCCGGCUAACUCCGUGCCAGCAGCCGCGGUAAUACGGGGGGGACAAGCGUUGUUCGGAUUUACUGGGCGUAAAGGGCGCGUAGGCGGACCUUCAAGUCGGAUGUGAAACCUGGCGGCUUAACCACCAGCCUGCAUUCGAUACUGUUGGCCUUGAGUACGGGAGAGGAGAAUGGAAUUCCAGGUGUAGCGGUGAAAUGCGUAGAUAUCUGGAAGAACACCAGUAGCGAAGGCGGUUCUCUGGACCGAUACUGACGCUAAAGCGCGAAGGCUUGGGGAGCAAACAGGAUUAGAAACCCUUGUAGUCC